rnacentral:rRNA from 1 species
UACCAGCACCCCGAGUGGUCGGGACGAUUAUUGGGCCUAAAGCAUCCGUAGCCGGUCCUACAAGUCUUCCGUUAAAUCCACCUGCUUAACAGAUGGGCUGCGGAAGAUACUAUAGGGCUAGGAGGCGGGAGAGGCAAGCGGUACUCAGUGGGUAGGGGUAAAAUCCUCUGAUCCAUUGAAGACCACCAGUGGCGAAGGCGGCGACCUGGUCCGAUACUGACGCUGAGGCGCGAAAGCGUGGGGAGCAAACAGG